GUUUGUGGAAACACCACGUAAAUUUAUUACUGCAAGUAAUAAAUAUACGUGGUAAUUAUUAAUUAAUUUAUUUGCAGUAAUAAAUUUACGUGGUGUUUCCACAAACAAAAUAUU